rnacentral:rRNA from 1 species
CUCAAAUCAGGUAGGAUUACCCGCUGAACUUAAGCAUAUCAAUAAGCGGAGGAAAAGAAACCAACAGGGAUUGCCUCAGUAACGGCGAGUGAAGCGGCAAAAGCUCAAAUUUGAAAUCUGGUACCUGCGGUGCCCGAGUUGUAAUUUGAAGAUAGUUUUCUGGUUUCGGCCCCUGUCUAUGUUCCUUGGAACAGGACGUCACAGAGGGUGAGAAUCCCGUCUGGCGGGGUGUCCGAUUCCGUGUAGAUUUCUAUCGACGAGUCGAGUUGUUUGGGAAUGCAGCUCUAAGUGGGUGGUAAAUUCCAUCUAAAGCUAAAUAUUGGCGAGAGACCGAUAGCGAACAAGUACAGUGAUGGAAAGAUGAAAAGAACUUUGAAAAGAGAGUGAAAAAGUACGUGAAAUUGUUGAAAGGGAAGGGUAUUAGAUCAGACUUGGUGUUUAGUGAUUAUCUUCCCCUCGUGGGUUGUGCACUCGCUCUUCACUGGGCCAGCAUCGGUUCGGGUGGCAGGAUAAUGGCAUGGGAACGUGGCACCGUCUUCGGGCGGUGUGUUAUAUCCCACGCUGAUGCUGCCUGCCUGGACCGAGGACUGCGCUCUGCCUAGGAUGCUGCGC